rfam:Triticum aestivum genome assembly, contig: Triticum_aestivum_CS42_TGACv1_scaffold_376293_5AL
AUACUACUCCCUCCGUCCGGAAAUACUUGUCGGAGAAAUGGAUAAAAAUUGAUGUAUCUAGAACUAAAAUACGUCUAGAUACAUCCAUUUCACCGACAAGUACUUUCAGACAGAGGGAGUAGUUC